ACAGCAGUAGCCACGGUAAAACAGAGGUGCCAAGCGUUAGGCGGAAUCACUGGGCUUAAAGCGUGUGUAGGCGGAUGCCUAAGUACCUUGUGAAAUCCCACGGCUUAACCGUGGAACUGCUCGGUAUACUGGGUGUCUUGAGCUGUCUAGGGGCUACCGGAACAAAUGGUGGAGCGGUGAAAUGUGUAGAUAUCAUUUGGAACGCCAAUGGUGAAAACAGGUAGCUGGGGACAUGCUGACGCUGAGACACGAAAGCUAGGGGAGCAAAUGGGAUUAGAGACCCGAGUAGUCCCUGUCUCUUAUAU
rnacentral:rRNA from 1 species